rnacentral:rRNA from 1 species
AUAGUUCUAUAACAAAACAAUUCGCCAGUAAGAACUACUAGCAACAGCUUAAAACUCAAAGGACUUGGCGGUGCUUUAUAUCCCUCUAGAGGAGCC